CCACACUCAGGCGGGGAGUUAGCGGUGCCCUGAACCUGCAAUCCGCUAUAGCAGGGCCGAAAUCCCUGCAUGAGGCCUUUCCCUGUCAGGAAGGGUCUAUCAGGAGGCGAUGAAGGUUGGGUCCACCAUAGGGUGGAACUCUGAACCCCGUCAGGUCCGGAAGGAAGCAGCGGUAAGGAGUUUACAUCCUGAUGGUGGGUAGCCUGACUGGAGCCCACCCUGAUGGAUACCCCUGGUGGAGAAAGGUCGAAGCAGGGCGUGUGG
rnacentral:SRP_RNA from 1 species